AGUCACGCUGUAACGAUGUCGAUUUGGAGGUUGUUCCCUUGAGGAGUGGCUUCGGGAGCUAACGCGUUAAAUCGACCGCUGGGGAGUACGGCCGCAAGGUUAAAACUCAAAUGAAUUGACGGGGGCCCGCACAAGCGGUGGAGCAUGUGGUUUAAUUCGAUGCAACGCGAAGAACCUUACCUACUCUUGACAUCCAGAGAAUUUAGCAGAGAUGCUUUAGUGCCUUCGGGAACUCUGAGACAGGUGCUGCAUGGCUGUCGUCAGCUCGUGUUGUGAAAUGUUGGGUUAAGUCCCGCAACGAGCGCAACCCUUAUCCUUUGUUGCCAGCACAUUAUGGUGGGAACUCAAAGGAGACUGCCGGUGAUAAACCGGAGGAAGGUGGGGAUGACGUCAAGUCAUCAUGGCCCUUACGAGUAGGGCUACACACGUGCUACAAUGGCGUAUACAAAGAGAAGCGACCUCGCGAGAGCAAGCGGAACUCAUAAAGUACGUCGUAGUCCGGAUUGGAGUCUGCAACUCGACUCCAUGAAGUCGGAAUCGCUAGUAAUCGUAGAUCAGAAUGCUACGGUGAAUACGUUCCCGGGCCUUGUACACACCGCCCGUCACACCAUGGGAGUGGGUUGCAAAAGAAGUAGGUAGCUUAACCUUCGGGAGGGCGCUUACCACUUUGUGAUUCAUGACUGGGGUGAAGUCGUAACAAGGUAACCA
rnacentral:rRNA from 1 species